CCAGACUCCUACGGGAGGCAGCAGUGAGGAAUAUUGGUCAAUGGGAGAGAUCCUGAACCAGCCAAGCUGCGUGAGGGAAGACGGCCCUAUGGGUUGUAAACCUCUUUUGUCGGAGAACAAAACCCGGGACGUGUCCCGGACUGCGUGUAUCCGAAGAAAAAGCAUCGGCUAACUCCGUGCCAGCAGCCGCGGUAAUACGGAGGGUGCGAGCGUUAUCCGGAUUUAUUGGGUUUAAAGGGUGCGCAGGCGGUGAUUUAAGCCGGGUGUAAUAUUCGGGGGCUCAACCCCGCCGAGCCGUUGAAACUGGCUUGCUAGAGUGGGCGAGAAGUAUGCGGAAUGCGUGGUGUAGCGGUGAAAUGCAUAGAUAUCACGCAGAACUCCGAUUGCGAAGGCAGCAUACCGGCGCCCAACUGACGCUCAGGCACGAAAGCGUGGGUAUCGAACAGGAUUAGAUACCCUGGUACGC
rnacentral:rRNA from 1 species